rnacentral:rRNA from 1 species
AUACGUAGGGUGCGAGCGUUGUCCGGAAUUACUGGGCGUAAAGAGCUCGUAGGUGGUUUGUCGCGUCGUCUGUGAAAUUCCAGGGCUUAACUCCGGGCGUGCAGGCGAUACGGGCAUAACUUGAGUACUGUAGGGGAGACUGGAAUUCCUGGUGUAGCGGUGAAAUGCGCAGAUAUCAGGAGGAACACCGGUGGCGAAGGCGGGUCUCUGGGCAGUAACUGACGCUGAGGAGCGAAAGCAUGGGUAGCGAACAGGAUUAGAUACCCUGGUAGUCCAUGCCGUAAACGGUGGGCGCUAGGUGUAGGGGUCUUCCACGACUUCUGUGCCGUAGCUAACGCAUUAAGCGCCCCGCCUGGGGAGUACGGCCGCAAGGCUAAAACUCAAAUGAAUUGACGGGG